rnacentral:rRNA from 1 species
UGAGGAGUUUUCCACAAUGGGCGAAAGCCUGAUGGAGCAAUGCCGCGUGGAGGAAGAAGGUCCGUGGAUCGUAAACUCCUUUUCUCAGAGAAGAAGAAAUGACGGUAUCUGAGGAAUAAGCUCCGGCUAAUUCUGUGCCAGCAGCCGCGGUAAUACAGGAGGAGCAAGCGUUAUCCGGAAUGAUUGGGCGUAAAGCGUCUGUAGGUGGUUUAACAAGUCAACUGUCAAAUACGUUGGCUCAACCAACGGCAGGCAGUCGAGAACUGUUGGACUAGAGUGCGGUAGAGGUAGAGGGAAUCCCUAGCGUAACAGUGAAAUGUGUAGAUUUUAGGGAGAACACCAGCGGCGAAGGCGCUCUACUGGGCCGAGACUGACACUGAGAGACGAAAGCUACGGGAGC